UUAUACAACUUUCAACAACGGAUCUCUUGGCUCUCGCAUCGAUGAAGAACGCAGCGAAAUGCGAUAAGUAAUGUGAAUUGCAGAAUUCAGUGAAUCAUCGAAUCUUUGAACGCACCUUGCGCUCCUUGGUAUUCCGAGGAGCAUGCCUGUUUGAGUGUCA
rnacentral:rRNA from 1 species